rnacentral:lncRNA from 1 species
AAAAAAAAAUAAAACUAAAAAGUAAAAUCUAAAAACAAAAAAAUAAAAAAUAAAAAAUUAUAAAGUUUUGCUACAUUAAACCAUCAAAUAAUUCAAAACUAAGAAAUAUUGGGGCACCUGAGUGGCUCAGUCGGUUGAGUGUCUGACUUUGGCUCAGGUCAUGAUCUCACAGUUCGUGAGUUCGAGCCCUGAAUCAGGCUCUGUGUUGACACUCAGCCUGGAUCCUGCUUCGGAUUGUAUAUCUCCCUCUCUCUCUGCUCCUCCCCUGCUCACGCUCUGUCUCCCUCUCCUUCAAAAAUAAAUAAACAUUUUAAAAAUAUCAAAAAUAAGAAAUAUUUAUAUUGAUGUAUAAACUUUUUUUCUUAUAAUAGAAAUAUGGCAAUAACGUGUAUCAGGAAGAAAUAGCUGUUUUUUCUUCCCGACUACAGAGGUGGUAGUUAUGAUUGUGAUCUUGGGCAAGUUUCUUAACCUGUGUCAAAUUUCUUGAUAAAAUGAACUUACAGUAAUAGGAAACUAAUAAGAUUUUUGUAAGGAUCAUAUGAGUAUGUCUGAAGUACUUAGAACGUUGACUAGAACUUAAUGUUCAACAAAUAUUAGUAAUUUGCAAAGAGAGGCAUGAGAGUUCUAAGUAGAGAGGAGAUCUCAUCUUGGCCAGAGAUAUUCAGUAGCUUGAUGGUGCUUCCAUAUUCCUUUAUGUGGCUUUAAAUCUAGCGUUAGUCCACCUUUUCAGAUCCCUUAUCUGCUUUAGUGCAAGCUGUAGAGUCCAAAUCAUCUAACUGUUCAACAUUUCCUAAUCUCAUGAUGUAUCUUCCCUCAUUUAGAUCCCACAAUAUGGAAUAUUAAGAAUCCUGUUUCCCUUUGUCCAUCCUAGACAGCAAACCUAUAGACAAGUCCUCCACAAAACGUCUCCAGAUUUAGCAGAAACUUGACUCCUAAUUUCCAUGACCUCCCAUGGCUUCAAGUUCAUAUUCCUCCUCAUUAAUAACAAGAUCAGAAGAGAAGCACCAGGCUCUUCUUUCAAUGGGUCCAGAAAAAGUCUCCUUGGAUUUCAUUUCCUCUUAUUGGAUCUUGGUCCAUUCCUAGGUCAGUGACCAGAGCAAUAUAGUUCCAAUGAACCAGGAGCCAAAAGUGGAGAUUUCUGCACUGAAUUAUAUGAAUUAUAUGAAGUGAGAAUAAAAGAGAGAUUGUUCAUCA